rnacentral:rRNA from 1 species
UACGUAGGGGGCAAGCGUUGUCCGGAAUCAUUGGGCGUAAAGAGCGUGUAGGCGGCCCGGUAAGUCCGCUGUGAAAGUCCAGGGCUCAACCCUGGGAUGCCGGUGGAUACUGUCGGGCUCGAGUCCGGAAGAGGAGUGUGGAAUUCCUGGUGUAGCGGUGAAAUGCGUAGAUAUCGCUUGGAACGCCGACGGUGAAAACAGCUCGCUGGGGGUGUGCUGACGCUGAGACACGAAAGCCAGGGGAGCGAACGGG